rnacentral:tRNA from 1 species
AAGUAAGAAGCAAUAAUUGCAUUUAGUUUCGACCUAAAAGUUUGACUUAAUUUAGUCCUUACUUU